CGGUGCGACAGAAAACAUCGGCUGCAAUUGAGACAGGGAAAGAGACACUUAACGUCUGUGCUUGCUGUGCCAUCACCAAAACAACUCUCUGGCCAUCCCCUAAGCUGCACGAGAUCUUAGUGAAUUUCCCAAAAGAAAUGCAGACUUGUCUGUCUGGGAGCAGGGUUUCUAGUCUCGCUUUUAUCCCAUGGACCUUUACAAAUGGUCCACAGAGCACCCAGGAGCUGGAAACCGCAGGCUGGGAACCACUGCCACAGAUCUCGCCAGAACACGGGCACCAUUCAUCCCUCCACCCUGCAGCGAGCAGCUCCUAAUUACCCUGUCACUGGAUCCUGCUAACUGUGGCCACAGAGUUCAAGGCAGAUUUUCAUCUCUCUGAACCUUUUCUGAACUCUCUUCCAAUCAUUACAAAAGGAUAUUAUAAGUGAGUAAAUUCAGAGGCAGCGGUGGAUGCUGCAGAGUCCUGAUGGGCCACAGCAGCACACCAGGGGAUGAACCGAUCCUGCUGGACUAAAGCUCAGGAGAAAUGCUCCCGAGGCUGCCAGCACAUCCCUCAGCAGAGGCCUUGGGCCAGCAGGGUGAGGGGCAGAGGGCCAGCAGGUCCCUUGGUGUCCCAGCCCCUCGGCCAUCGGACAGCACCGCGUCUGCAGCAGCUGCCACACAAACUCUUCACUCCUAUUGCAAGCAUGGCAGCAAGCACACAUUUGCUUUGCUCUCUUUGCAGAAGUAAAUCUUUUAAUCUCA